rnacentral:rRNA from 1 species
AUUCCAGCUCCAAUAGCGUAUAUUAAUGUUGUUGCAGUUAAAAAGCUCGUAGUUGGAUUUCUGGUGGGAGCGUCCGGUCCGCCGUAAGGUGUGUACUUGGUUGUCUCCUGUCAUCCUUGUGGGAACUGCUCUGGCAUUAAGUUGUCGGGGUUAGGGAACACAUCGUUUACUGUGAAAAAAUUAGAGUGUUUAAAGCAGGCUUAUGCCGUUGAAUACAUUAGCAUGGAAUAAUAAGAUAGGACUUUGGCGUCUAUUUUGUUGGUUUGCACACCAAGGUAAUGAUUAAUAGGGAUAGUUGGGGGUAUUCGUAUUUAAUUGUCAGAGGUGAAAUUCUUGGAUUUAUGAAAGACGAACUUCUGCGAAAGCAUUUACCAAAGAUGUUUUCAUUA